rnacentral:rRNA from 1 species
UACGGAGGGUGCAAGCGUUAUCCGGAUUCACUGGGUUUAAAGGGUGCGUAGGCGGGCAUUUAAGUCAGUGGUGAAAUACCUGAGCUUAACUUGGGAACUGCCAUUGAUACUAUUUGUCUUGAAUGUCGUGGAGGUUAGCGGAAUAUGUCAUGUAGCGGUGAAAUGCUUAGAUAUGACAUAGAACACCAAUUGCGAAGGCAGCUGGCUACACAAAUAUUGACACUGAGGCACGAAAGCGUGGGGAUCAAACAGG